GACUACAGGGGUAUCUAAUCCUGUUUGCUCCCCACGCUUUCGCGUCUCAGCGUCAGUUGCGGCCCAGUCACCCGCCUUCGCCACAGGUGUUCCCCCCGAUAUCUACACAUUUCACCGUUACACCGGGGAUUCCAGUGACCCCUACCGAACUCCAGUCAGACAGUUUCCAGCGCAGCUCCCUGGUUAAGCCAGAGAAUUUCACACCAGACUUAUCCAACCGCCUACACGCCCUUUACGCCCAGUAACUCCGGACAACGCUCGCCCCCUACGUAUUACCGCGGCUGCUGGCACGUAGUUAGCCGGGGCUUAUUCGCAAAGUACCAUCAAAUACACGUGGUAUGAGCACAUGUACCUUUUUCCCCUGCAAAAGAGGUUUACAACCCGAAAGCCUUCAUCCCUCACGCGGCGUCGCUCCGUCAGGCUUGCGCCCAUUGCGGAAAAUUCCUCACUGCAGCCACCCGUAGG
rnacentral:rRNA from 1 species